rnacentral:rRNA from 1 species
AACGAACGCUGGCGGCAGGCUUAACACAUGCAAGUCGAACGCCCCGCAAGGGGAGUGGCAGACGGGUGAGUAACGCGUGGGAACAUACCCUUUCCUGCGGAAUAGCUCUGGGAAACUGGAAUUAAUACCGCAUACGCCCUACGGGGGAAAGAUUUAUCGGGGAAGGAUUGGCCCGCGUUGGAUUAGCUAGUUGGUGGGGUAAAGGCCUACCAAGGCGACGAUACAUAGCUGGUCUGAGAGGAUGAUCAGCCACAUUGGGACUGAGACACGGCCCAAACUCCUACGGGAGGCAGCAGUGGGGAAUAUUGGGCAAUGGGCGCAAGCCUGAUCCAGCCAUGCCGCGUGAGUGAUGAAGGCCUUAGGGUUGUAAAGCUCUUUCACCGAUGAAGAUAAUGACGGUAGUCGGAGAAGAAGCCCCGGCUAACUUCGUGCCAGCCGCCGCAGUAAUAC